rnacentral:rRNA from 1 species
UACGGGGGGGUGCGAGCGUUGUCCGGAAUCACUGGGCGUAAAGGGCGCGUAGGUGGCCUGAUAAGGGUGUGGUGAAAGUCCGGGGGCUCAACCCCCGGAUCUGCCGUGCCGACUGUUAGGCUAGAGUACUGUAGGGGCAGGCGGAAUUCCGGGUGUAGCGGUGGAAUGCGUAGAGAUCCGGAGGAACGACCGGUGGCGAAGGCGGGUCUCUGGGCCGAGUAACUGAC